rnacentral:lncRNA from 1 species
GAUCUUUUUCUUCUCGUUUUUUUCUUUAUUAUAUGUAUAUUAAAAACACUGGAAUCAACGGAAGCGUUGAAGAAAAAUACUAAAUGAAGAGAGCAAGAGAGAAGAGCCCUGAGCUUAGUAGUUCCUUUGUUUUAUAUUUCGGUCCACCCAAUCACAUCAAUGGAGAGAGAGAUCCGAAUUCAUUUCUGACCUUACUUGGCCAAUUGGUACCUCCUUUCUUCCACUGGGAUUGGCAGGUGUACCUUAUUGACAGGAUAUUUUAUACUAUUCUUUUUCUCAGGUCUCCAGAUCUGGACUUCGUAGCUGUCUG